rnacentral:lncRNA from 1 species
UUUUCCGUAAGUUAUCUUUGAAAACUUCCUUCAUGAAAGUUGUAGAGUUUGUCGAUACGAGUUCGUAGACAUGCGGCACACGUAAAUCAGAUGUUGUAUGAGAAAGUUAUUGUCAGAGGAAGUUAGUUUUCGGUUUUGGAAAGAGUAUAAGUAGAAAAAUGUGUGGGAGAUAUUUUUGGAAAACCUAUAACUGCAGCAGCCCAGCUCUCAGUCUCUCUCUUCUCUCUCCCGACCCUCCCACACCCUAUUUCUUCUCCGGUCAUUUUCUUCCUCAUCCGGCCACCUUUUUGGACGUCGCCGGUUCAGUUGGAUCCGUACCAACGUCCUCUCCAUUUCUGGAGCAGUCCCACUCGCUGUCUCGCCACCUGGAAGCCGCCAUGAAGAGGCGGAGUAGCUGUUGUUCCGCCGGAAAGUCGGCGUUUUCGACGGCGAUCCCGGCCAAGGUUAGGUGAGUCUUGCUCUCAUCUCUCUUCUAGAGAUGUUUAUACCUCUUUGGUGACCUAAAGAGCUAGUUUGGGCACCGGAUUUGCAGGUUUGGGUUUUGAUUUUGGGUUGCUAUUUCGGCGGGGCAGUUUCCGGCUAGUUCCGGCCAAAAUUGGUUGAAGCCUCAGGUAUGAAAGGUAUUCCCCUUGCUUCAAGCUUCAACUUUGAUGUUUUAAGUUUUCUCAAAUUCAGAAGUUGGUAGUGGAGCGUGGGGCCCACUAACCGCCGCGCGUGGCAGCGCAUCCGGCAGUGUUUGUGGCUUAGUUUGCUGUGUUUUAGCUAGCUCUUGUUGUGGUGAGCUUGUUGAGAUGUAGAAUUUCUAGGUUGUGAGCAAUGUUUGUAUGUUAGGACUUUAAGUUGUUAUUAGGCUUGGUUGAGGUUUGAGGAUUAGAGGCAGCCAUUUUGGGUCGCUAACUUCGACGACUUUGGAAAGUUGUCCUCCCUUGAACUAAGGGUUAGUUUAAGGGUAUUGUGUUAACCUAUAGUAUUUUAGUUACUAAGGUUUUAAUUGUGUGAUUUUAGGUGAUUUGUGAAGUUGUGUUUUGGCUUGCUUUUGUCAUCUGAUUGUGGAAUUUGCAGCGGGAUAUUUAGGUGAGUAAAUCUCACUAAGGUUCACUUUUGAACCAAAUGUUAUUAUGGUCAUGUGAUGAUGAUAAUGAUGAUAAUGUUGGAUUUAAUAAUAUGCUUUUAAUGGUUUUUAAAAAUAUAUGAGCUUGAUCGCCAAUGGCUCAUUGGUAAGAUAAAACAAGUUUUCCUUAUAUGCUAUUUUUGAGAUUCAUAUGAUCAUAAUUUUAUUGAUUAUUAAUAGAUUAUUCUUGUGGAAAAUCUAUAUUUUGUUCAAGUAAAUAUAUCUAUGUGGAAGGAUAUAAUUUAUGAUGUGAUAUUGUGUUGUUGUGGAUAAUGUUGUGAUAUUGUGAUUGUUGGAUAAAUAGCCAAACCGGGUUCCAAGCCUUUAAUUGGGUGAUUGGUUGCGGUUAAUAUGCUAUUUAUCAUUUUUGUGUUUGAUAUUAGACAGUCAAACCGGGUUCCAAGCCUUUGGUCGGGCAAUUGGUUGCGGUUAGGAAUAGAGCUCUAGACCGUCUGUCAGUGUAGGUCAUGGGAGAUACCGUAUAGUAUCUGGGACCCAAGGGUACACAUUUUGUUGUUGUAGGUCAUGAGGGGUAUUUAUUAAUACAUGGGACUCAUAGGUACAUGUUAAUUGAAAAAAUGUUGGAUUUGUGAAUUUAUUUAUUGAUAUAAAUUGCUCUUGUGAUAUAAUUGGUAAUUGGAGGUUUUUGUGUUAUUUUGAGAAUUACUCAUACGGGCUUUUUAGCUUACCGGGUUUGUUGUUUACAACCCGGUACACCAAUUCUUGGUGUAGGGGUUAGACCUGCAGGUGAGGAUCAACAUGGUUGAGACGGAGGCUUAGUGGCAGAGUUUUUAUUGGGUUUUGCUGUACAUUAUAUAUUUUUAUAUUUGGGGUAGACUUUAUUAAAACUCAUGUGAGUGGUUUCAUUUUCUUGAUUUUCAAGUUUAUGUAAAAAAGAAAUGUAAUAUUUAACUCGAUGUUGAGUUGUGUUGUGUGACAUUUACAUUUCCGCAUUGAGUUUUAGUUUCUUUGAAGUUUGUUUGAAAACAGGUUUUGGGAUAGUUAUUUUAAGAUAUAUCAUGCCAAAAUUUUUGAAAAAUUAUCUUUCGAAAAAUUGGGGCGUGACAAUAUCCAUGGGUUUUUUCAUGGAUUCCAAGAACGUGUGCGAUUAUACUAUCUCGUAUGAUUUUGUAUGCCUUUUUAAAUGGCCUAGAAAAUUGAAAAAAAUAAGUUAAGAGACCAAUGUAGUUGGUGUUCCCAAGAAAAACAAAAAUUUGGGUUUUACAUAGAUUCCGAGAACGUCAAUUCUUGCAUGAUUUUGUACGAUCUUAUUAAAUGUCAAAGAAAACACAAACAAAUUUUCAUGAAAGUUGAAGAACUAAUUUAAGAGAUCAAUGUCGUUGGUUUAUGGAGGUCUGAAGAAGAACAAAAUUUGGGUUCUCACAGAUUCCGAGAACAUCGAUUCGUGUGCCAUCUUAUGAGAUCUUGUUAAAUAACUAAGAAACGGCAAAGAAAUAUUCAAG